CCUAGGUUUAAGUCCUUAAUCCAUCUUGAGUUGAUUUUUGUAUAAGGUGAGAGAUGAGGAUCCAGUUUUGUUCUCCUACAUGUGCUAGCCAAUUAUCGCAGCACCAUUUGUUUACAUGGGUCUCCCUUCCCUACUUUAUGUUUUUGUUUGCUUUGUCAAAGAUCAGUUGGCUGUAAGUAUUUGUGUUUAUUUCUGGGUUCUCUAUUCUGUUCCAUUGGUCUAUGUGCCCAUUUUUACACCAGCACCAUGCUGUUUUGGUGACUAUGGCCUUAUAGCGUAGUUUGAAAUCAGGUAAUGUGAUGCCUCCAGAUUUCUUCUUUUUGCUUGGUCUUGCUUUGGCCAUGCAGGCUCUUUUAGCUCCAAAUGGAUUUUAGAAUUGCUUUUUCUAACUGUGUGAAGAAUGGUAUUUUGAUGGGGAUUGUGUUGAAUUUGUAGCUUGCUUUUGGCAGUAUGGUCAUUUUCACAAUAUUGAUUCUACCCAUCCUUGAACAUGGGAUGUGUUUCCAUUUAUUUGUGUCAUCUACGAUUUCUUUCAGCAGUGUUUUGUAGUCUUCUA